AUACGGAGGGUGCAAGCGUUAAUCGGAAUCACUGGGCGUAAAGCGCGCGCAGGCGGUCUUUUAAGUUGGAUGUGAAAGCCUACGGCUCAACCGUAGAACUGCAUCCAAAACUAUUAGACUAGAGUGUGGGAGAGGAAGAUGGAAUUAGUUGUGUAGGGGUAAAAUCCGUAGAGAUAACUAGGAAUACCAAAAGCGAAGGCAAUCCUCUGGAACACUACUGACGCUGAGGCGCGAAAGCGUGGGGAGCAAACAGGAUUAGAAACCCUAGUAGUCC
rnacentral:rRNA from 1 species